UGGCGAUCUUCUUUUCAAGGUUGCUGGAACCUUUGGAAGAGCAAUUCUUGAGCUUGGGAGUGAUGACGAAGGUCCAAGCACAGAGGCACAUGGCCUCGCAAUUAUUGAGGUCCUUGGGCAAAGAAGUCGCAAUGAAGUUCUUGCUGAAAUUUAUAUGACUAUCUUCUUUUCAAGGUUGCUGGAACCUUUGGAAAAGCAAUUCUUGAGGUUGGGAGUGAUGACGAAGGUCCAAGCACAGAGGCACAUGGAUGACCCUGCAAUUAUUCAAGUCCUUGGGCAAAGAAGUCGCAAUGAAGUUCUUGCUGAAAUUUAUAUGGUUGCUGGAACCUUUGGAAAAACAAUUCUUGAGCUUGGGGGUGAUGACGAAGGUC